AAUAAGCACAGUUGUAAGUUUUAAUUCCAACUUUGACCAUUCAUCUUAUUUGAAAUAUUUUUAUAAUUAGUAUUUUUAUUGUUAUUAGAUGAUAAAAUAUAAAUAGGACUUUAUGCAUGACUUAACUUUUAAAUUUUUUUCAUAAAAUUAUCAAAUAAGACGGAUAGUCAAAUGUUGGGUACGAAAACUUAUGGCUGCACUUAUA
rfam:Oryza rufipogon genomic scaffold, chr11